GCAGGAGGUGGAAAUUUGAGUUUUUAUUCAAUUUGUUCUUCAGAAGUUUAUCAAUAUCAGAUGCUCUUUGUUCACUUAAUUCACUACCCGAUCUUUAUCUUCAAUUGUGCUAAAGGAUUCCGGUUUAUUUCAUGGAAUACAAAUCCGUUUGAUCUUUGCCAUAGUCACCGGACUCUAGCAUCCAAUCGUCUACGUAUUCGUAGAAAAAGUAAAUGUUGUGGAAUUUAACGCUUUAUUGCAUCACAUCCGACUAAAAAAAUGACCAGGGAAACAGAAGGCUGACAGACAUAUUCAUAGAAAAUAUGAAAAAGCCCUGCCUGUUGCCGUGUUGGAACUUGUAUUGACCUGUAUGAGCAUCAUACUGUGCAACUCACCUAAAGAUGGAGUUGACCAAGUUGCUGACUUUGAGGAGAACUUGAAGAGCAGAAGAUGCAUUCCAUGACUCUUAUGUGAUAUAGAAGACAAAGAAGAGCUCUUGAGAAUGGGAAAAAAACUGCGAGUUUUACAGUCAAUGAACACACCUCACGACACAAGUCCAUCCUGAUUCAGUAAACUAUUCUUCUAAGGAAACACCAUGACUUAGUUAAGAUCAAGUUUUGGUGUCAGAAGACUAAUGUAACUAAAACAUUGCAAAAUUAACCUGCAAGUGUCUUAUGUGACCCUGAUGAAUAAGGAUUCAUAACUGAACAGUUGAAGGAAAAUCACUAUUAUAAUGAUUUAAAAAAAAAGAUGAUUGUGUUGUUUGGAUAACAUAGUGAUCCAUGUUUGUUGAAUAAACAACUUUGCAAAAAUGAGUUGUUCUGUGUUAAUAUUAUAAAUUUACUAAUUACUGGUAUGUCAACAUAGAUUACAGUAACACUGAACAAACUUCAAUAAAUUUUAAAGUUUCAUGCAGUUUCUGCAGUAGAAAAUGACACCUAUUGAUUUUCUGGUCCAAAGGUCACUAGGUGCAAUACAAUACUCUGUACAAUUGAUGUCUGACCAGUUUCUUCAGAAC